AACGAACGCUGGCGGUGCGCCUAAUACAUGCAAGUCGAGCGAGAAGACGUAGCAAUACGUUUGUAAAGCGGCGAACGGGUGAGGAAUACAUGGGUAACCUACCCUCGAGUGGGGAAUAACUAGCCGAAAGGUUAGCUAAUACCGCGUACGCUCCUUGGACUUCGGUUCAGGGAGGAAAGCGAUACCGUGGGUAUCGCGCUCUUGGAUGGGCUCAUGUCCUAUCAGCUUGUUGGUGAGGUAGCGGCUCACCAAGGCUUCGACGGGUAGCUGGUCUGAGAGGACGAUCAGCCACACUGGCACUGCGACACGGGCCAGACUCCUACGGGAGGCAGCAGUAAGGAAUAUUGCGCAAUGGGCGAAAGCCUGACGCAGCGACGCCGCGUGGGGGAUGAAGGUCUUCGGAUUGUAAACCACUGUUGCCCGGGACGAAGAGCGGACUU
rnacentral:rRNA from 1 species